UGAGAACACCAUGCAUCCUGGAGGAUCAGAAACAUGUAGAGCAAAACCAGACCCAACUCACAGCCUCCAGCCAAGUGCAGGCAAGCCUAACCUAGACCACCUGAGUCCCACUCAACUGCAGAUGUGUGAGAGGAAGAACCAGAAGGCAAAUGUUGACACUGUUUUUGCAGCCCAGAAGGCAGAAGAGACCACGCCGUAAGUCACUCACAGCUAAACUUACUGAGGAUAAUUCCGAUAAGAUUGUCCAUUAUGGCAACAUGUUUCAGAUGAAUUUAAAAUGGGGGAAGACCCAUAAUGACGAAUACAUUAACGAAGAAGAAUUUAACAUAAAUACCUAAAAGUA